CUACGGGGGGCAGCAGUGGGGAAUAUUGGACAAUGGGCGCAAGCCUGAUCCAGCAAUGCCGCGUGGGUGAAGAAGGUCUUCGGAUCGUAAAGCCCUUUCGACAGGGACGAUGAUGACGGUACCUGUAGAAGAAGCCCCGGCUAACUUCGUGCCAGCAGCCGCGGUAAUACGAAGGGGGCUAGCGUUGCUCGGAAUUACUGGGCGUAAAGGGCGCGUAGGCGGCUUAGUCAGUCAGGCGUGAAAUUCCUGGGCUUAACCUGGGGGCUGCGCUUGAUACGGCUAGGCUUGAGGGUAGGAGAGGGUCGUGGAAUUCCCAGUGUAGAGGUGAAAUUCGUAGAUAUUGGGAAGAACACCGGUGGCGAAGGCGGCGACCUGGCCUAUUACUGACGCUGAGGCGCGACAGCGUGGGGAGCAAACAGGAUUA
rnacentral:rRNA from 1 species